rnacentral:rRNA from 1 species
UACGUAGGGUCCGAGCGUUGUCCGGAAUUACUGGGCGUAAAGAGCUCGUAGGUGGUUUGUCGCGUUGUUCGUGAAAUCCCUCGGCUCAACUGAGGACGUGCGGAAGAAACUGCAGGGCUGGAGUCCGGGAGAGGAGGGUGGAAUUCCCAGUGUAGCGGUGAAAUGCGUAGAUAUUGGGAGGAACACCGGUGGCGAAGGCGGCCCUCUGGACCGGUACUGACGCUGAUGCGCGAAAGCGUGGGGAGCAAACGGG